AUUGAACGCUGGCGGCAGGCCUAACACAUGCAAGUCGAACGGUAACAGGAAGCAGCUUGCUGCUUCGCUGACGAGUGGCGGACGGGUGAGUAAUGUCUGGGAAGCUGCCUGAUGGAGGGGGAUAACUACUGGAGACGGUAGCUAAUACCGCAUAAUGUCGCAAGACCAAAGAGGGGGACCUUCGGGCCUCUUGCCAUCGGAUGUGCCCAGAUGGGAUUAGCUUGUUGGUGGGGUAACGGCUCACCAAGGCGACGAUCCCUAGCUGGUCUGAGAGGAUGACCAGCCACACUGGAACUGAGACACGGUCCAGACUCCUACGGGAGGCAGCAGUGGGGAAUAUUGCACAAUGGGCGCAAGCCUGAUGCAGCCAUGCCGCGUGUAUGAAGAAGGCCUUCGGGUUGUAAAGUACUUUCAGCGGGGAGGAAGGGAGUAAAGUUAAUACCUUUGCUCAUUGACGUUACCCGCAGAAGAAGCACCGGCUAACUCCGUG
rnacentral:rRNA from 1 species